rnacentral:rRNA from 1 species
GACGAACGCUGGCGGCGUGCUUAACACAUGCAAGUCGAACGGAAAGGCCCUGCUUUUGUGGGGUGCUCGAGUGGCGAACGGGUGAGUAACACGUGAGUAACCUGCCCUUGACUUUGGGAUAACUUCAGGAAACUGGGGCUAAUACCGGAUAGGAGCUCCUGCUGCAUGGUGGGGGUUGGAAAGUUUCGGCGGUUGGGGAUGGACUCGCGGCUUAUGAGCUUGUUGGUGGGGUAGUGGCUUACCAAGGCUUUGACGGGUAGCCGGCCUGAGAGGGUGACCGGCCACAUUGGGACUGAGAUACGGCCCAGACUCCUACGUGAGGCAGCAGUGGGGAAUAUUGCACAAUGGGCGGAAGCCUGAUGCAGCAACGCCGCGUUCGUGAUGCCGGCCUUCGGGUUGUAAACCGCUUUCGCCUGUGACGAAGCGUGAGUGACGGUAAUGGGUAAAGAAGCACCGGCUAACUACGUG